GACGAACGCUGGCGGCGUGCCUAACACAUGCAAGUCGAGCGGAGACAGUGAGUAGCUUGCUAUGAGCUGUUUUAGCGGCGGACGGGUGAGUAACGCGUGAGCAACCUUUCCCAGACAGGGGAAUAACACACCGAAAGGUGUACUAAUACCGCAUAAGACCACGGUUUCACAUGGGACUGGGGUAAAAGAUUUAUCGGUUUGGGGUGGGCUCGCGUCCGAUUAGGUAGUUGGUGAGGUAACGGCCCACCAAGCCGACGAUCGGUAGCCGACCUGAGAGGGUGAUCGGCCACAUUGGGACUGAGACACGGCCCAAACUCCUACGGGAGGCAGCAGUGGGGAAUAUUGGGCAAUGGGGGGAACCCUGACCCAGCAACGCCGCGUGGAGG
rnacentral:rRNA from 1 species